GAUGAACGCUGGCGGCGUGCCUAACACAUGCAAGUCGAGCGGACAGACGGGGCUUUUGCGGGGAUGACGUGAGGGGCGGGCGGGUGAGUCACACGAGUAUACCCCACCUAUAAGACUGAGAUCACGACGGGAGAGCGGAUAAAACAUCGGAGCAGAUAGUGAAGCGGGGGGUUCAUUGGAGAUAGACGGUUUUGCUGUCACUAAUCGAGGUAUCCGAGCCGGAUGGGCGAGUGGGUAGGGUAACGGCCUACCAAGGCUAGGAGGCGUAGCCGAGCUGCGGGGGUGAUCGGCCACCUUGGAACUGAGCCACGGUCCAGGCUCCUACGGGAGGCAGCAGUGGGGAAUCUUCGGCAAUGGGCGAAAGCCUGACGGAGCAACGCCGCGUGUGUGACGAAGGUCUUCGGAUCGUAAAGCUCUUUUACUUGGGAAGAACCGCUGUAUAAUUAACUACGGCCGUCUUGACGGUACCUAAUCAAAAAGCCCCGGCUAACUACGUG
rnacentral:rRNA from 1 species